UACAGAGGGGGCAAGCGUUGUUCGGAAUUACUGGGCGUAAAGGGCGCGUAGGCGCCUUCUAAGUCGAACGUGAAAUCCCCGGGCUCAACCCGGGAACUGCGUCCGAUACUGGAAGGCUUGAAUCCGGGAGAGGGAUGCGGAAUUCCAGGUGUAGCGGUGAAAUGCGUAGAUAUCGGGAGGAACACCAGUGGCGAAGGCGACUACCUGGCCUGUUUCUUGACGCUGAGGCGCGAAAGCUAGGGGAGCAACGGG
rnacentral:rRNA from 1 species